UGGCCUGCUUCUGGUUGGAAGACUAGUGAUUUUGUUGUUGUGACGUAUAGAGAAGACAACAAAUCACAGCCUACCAUCCAGCACAGGCCC